ACGGCGGUCAAAAUGCCCACGUGUCCCUCCGUUUUACAUGAGUUUUGUUAACAAUUUUGUUGUGGUGCUUCGUGCUAUGACAGAGAAAACCUACGAAGAGCAAGGUUGUCUAGCGAUCACAUCGUGCCGUUGGGGAAAGGCCGCAGGGUAGUGACGUCGAGACUCUAGAUCUACACUGUGUGACAGACAACUCUUUGUUAAACCCGCUUGACACCUUGGCGUUCACACCUAUGGAAUCUCCGGAUGUAAGACACCAAAUCUGCUGCUUUCAGAUGAGAGAUCUUAGAGUCUUGUUCAGGUAAGGCCCAAGACUCUGCAGCUAUAUAUACAACUACACGAGAGCGAUUAUUUAGAAACCGCUUCAUUGGAAGAAUAUAUGCGAAACGGACCCAAAACGACCGUCAAUAACUGCUGCUGUAAUUACUGCCGUGAGAAAUUGUAUUGAUCUCAUUCGAGCCAUCUGAAAUCUCUAUAACCCUGACAAGCAAAUCGGCAGCGAAGGGCUUCGGGCGCAGUGACAGGAACGCAGGAGGAGGAAGGAACAUUGUGAAUUCACAACUGAAUGCUGAACCAGCCGAUUUGUCUUUAUUUCACUCCGGAGUUUAAUUAAGUGUGCGCCGUGGUUUAUCGUGCGCUAACCCCUACGACCGGAUGACAUUCAUUUGUGGUUCGGAGAGAGACGACAAAAGUCGCAGUGAAUACCAUUUAGAGGCUUGUGUCGAGCAGUGAUGGGUUAUAGACAAACCACUUGGCAUGCCUUGAUUAUGCUGGGGAUGUAAUUGAUGAUAACAAAUGCUGGUACUACGUUGACGUGAAUAAUGGAAGGAGAGAAUGGCAUCAUUCCAAUAGUGGAGUUUAAGGGAACUGUUUGAUGCAUGCAGUAUCAUUUAACAUCUGAUGAAACGUGGGUGCUCGCAUUAGUUGGAUUCGCAACCACCAAGUAAUUCUAUUGAUGAUGUCAUCCUUCUAGGGUGGGAACAUUAUGAGAACAUCAUGUCACUGAUCACAAAUGACGUCAUAGUUUAAGCAACCAUUCCAUUCAGAUCCUCCUUGUCGAGCGGUCAUACUUUUUUUUGAAAUUUUGUCGAGAACUUCACGGCUAAUUAACGGUCCUUGGACCUCGUUUUAUGCACGGAGUGUUUUUGUGAAGUGGCCGUCGCAAUCAUCUUCAUCUACGCUAUUAUUGAUAUCAGUGUCAUCUGCCCUAUCUCUGGAACUUACCCGAGGGGCAAGGACAAGCAUCUGCUAAGUGCUUCAAAUAUUUCUCAGGACUGAGGUAAGAAAACUCUUUGUUUAUUUCUGUUUUAAAAUAUUAUUAUAUUGUUAGCAUUUAUUUUUUUCAAGAGGGGUCCGAAUGUCGAGUUAAGU